AUUGAACGCUGGCGGCAGGCCUAACACAUGCAAGUCGAGCGGAUGACGGGAGCUUGCUCCUUGAUUCAGCGGCGGACGGGUGAGUAAUGCCUAGGAAUCUGCCUGGUAGUGGGGGACAACGUUUCGAAAGGAACGCUAAUACCGCAUACGUCCUACGAGAGAAAGCAGGGGACCUUCGGGCCUUGCGCUAUCAGAUGAACCUAGGUCGGAUUAGCUAGUAGGUGAGGUAACGGCUCACCUAGGCGACGAUCCGUAACUGGUCUGAGAGGAGGAUCAGUCACACUGGAACUGAGACACGGUCCAGACUCCUACGGGAGGCAGCAGUGGGGAAUAUUGGACAAUGGGCGAAAGCCUGAUCCAGCCAUGCCGCGUGUGUGAAGAAGGUCUUCGGAUUGUAAAGCACUUUAAGUUGGGAGGAAGGGCAGUAAGUUAAUACCUUGCUGUUUUGACGUUACCGACAGAAUAAGCACCGGCUAACUCUGUGCCAGCAGCCGCCGUAAUAC
rnacentral:rRNA from 1 species